AGCGAACGCUGGCGGCAUGCCUAACACAUGCAAGUCGCACGGGGGGGCUUCGGCCUCCCAGUGGCGGACGGGUGAGGAACGCGUAGGGACCUGUCGAGGGGUGGGGGAUAACCGCGGGAAACUGCGGCUAAUACCGCAUGACGCCGCGGCGUGACAGCCGGGGCCAAAGGCGAAAGCCGCCCGCCGAGGGGCCUGCGUCCGAUUAGCUGGUUGGCGGGGUAGCGGCCCACCAAGGCGUCGAUCGGUAGCUGGUCUGAGAGGGUGAUCAGCCACACCGGGACUGAGACACGGCCCGGACUCCUACGGGAGGCAGCAAUGGGGAAUAUUGGACAAUGGGCGCAAGCCUGAUCCAGCAAUGCCGCGUGGGUGAAGAAGGUCUUCGGAUUGUAAAGCCCUUUCGGCGGGGACGAUGGUGACGGUACCCGCAGAAGAAGCCCCGGCUAACUUCGUG
rnacentral:rRNA from 1 species